UACGAAGGGUGUAAGCGUUGUUCGGAAUUAUUGGGCGUAAAGCGCACGUAGGCGGCCUUGUAAGUCUCACUGUGAAAGUCCGGGGCUCAACCCCGGGAUGCCAGGGGAUACUGCGAGGCUUGAGACAAGUAGAGGUUGGUAGAAUUCCGGGUGUAGCGGUGGAAUGCGUAGAGAUCCGGAGGAAUACCAGAGGCGAAGGCGGCCAACUGGGCUUGUUCUGACGCUGAGGUGCGAAAGCGUGGGGAGCGAACAGG
rnacentral:rRNA from 1 species